GCCCAAGUUACUCACAUUUCUGCCCAGCUGACUACAAAUUCUGUUUUCCAUGACCCCCUCUCAGGUGACCAGUCCGCAUCCUGAUACUAUCUCGGAGUCCCCCAGCCAAGAAUCAUCUCAUCAGCAUAAACUCAGGCAAUGCUGAAAGGCAUUGAGAAUGGUACUGGUCAUGUAACAUCCUCAGGAAAAUGGAGAAAGGAGUCACAUCACCUUUUGUGUUUGGAGACUGCUAUAUAAGCCAGAAUACUAGUCACACAGUGCAGGUGGGAGUGGCAGGGAAGUAACCUCCUUUUUUUUUUUAGACUGAUACAUUUAUG
rnacentral:antisense_RNA from 1 species